CUCCGGUUGAUCCUGCCGGACCCGACUGCUAUCAGAGUGGGACUAAGCCAUGCGAGUCGACGUAGCAAUGCGUGGCGAACGGCUCAGUAACACGUAGUCAACAUGCCCAGGGGACGUGGAUAACCUCGGGAAACUGAGAAUAAACCACGAUAGGUCAUGAUUUCUGGAAUGGAUCAUGGCCCAAAUCUACAUGGCCCCUGGAUUGGACUGCGGCCGAUCAGGCAGUUGGUGAGGUAAAGGCCCACCAAACCUAUAACCGGUACGGGCUCUGAGAGGAGAAGCCCGGAGAUGGGCACUGAGACAAGGGCCCAGGCCCUAUGGGGCGCAGCAGGCGCGAAACCUCUGCAAUAGGCGAAAGCCUGACAGGGUUACUCUGAGUGAUUUCCGCUAAGGGGAUCUUUUGGCACCUCUAAAAAUGGUGCAGAAUAAGGGGUGGGCAAGUCUGGUGUCAGCCGCCGCGGUAAUACCAGCACCCCGAGUGGUCGGGACGAUUAUUGGGCCUAAAGCAUCCGUAGCCGGUUCCGUAGGUCUCCUGCAAAAUCCAGUCGCUCAACGAUUGGCCCGCAAGAGAUACCGCGGGACUAGGAGGCGGGAGAGGUGGACGGUACUCCACGUGUAGGGGUAAAAUCCUUUGAUCCGUGGAAGACCACCAGAUCGACUGUGGGGAGUUAAAUGCAACGUGCAAAUUAACAACCAUGAGCAUUCCUCGAUUGCUGGGUCACAGUUUCGGGGACGGAUACAUCCACAUCAACAAAUUCUACUUCAUCUACACCAACACUUCGGAUGAACUUCUGAAGUUUGUCACAGAUGAAGUAACAUCGCAAUUCGAUGAGGUCUCGUUCGGCAACAGAACGUCAAUCGGCGGAACCCCGCAACUUCAGUUCUCUGCCUUCGUAGGCAGAAGAUUGAAUGAGCUUGG
rnacentral:rRNA from 1 species